GAUUAAAGCAGUUCUUUACUGUUGGAGGGAAGCUGACAGGACUUGGAAAGAGAAAUAGAGUCCCUCUGCCCUUUAUCCAGCUUUCCAGUAUCCUUUUUCUCUCAUUGACAGAACUACAAGAAAGCCACAAGCAAGAAAGGCUAGUCAAUGUAUUUUGGAGACUCUAAAUCCUAGCAUCUCAGAAAAGAAAAUAGAAAGCUAAACUUGGGCCAAAGAAGCAAUAGCUCUCAUUCCUCCAGUGACGUUACCUGUGAAGCAAGACUGCCUUGCACCAGACUGAGGAGCUAUGCAUUUGAAACACAAGCUGCCAGUACUUCUGCAAGCAAUUAUGAUGAGCUGAUUCCUGCUUGGGUGAGAAAUGAGGGACAAAAGGAACUAUCCACUCCAUACUCAGACUCAAAGAUUCUGCAGCAUGACAACAUAUAAAAAGGCAUACAUUCUAUAUUUAGAAGAUAAGGCCUGGCCUGGGAGUUCCCUUUGUGGUGCAGUGGAAAU